rnacentral:rRNA from 1 species
UACGAAGGGGGCUAGCGUUGCUCGGAAUCACUGGGCGUAAAGCGCACGUAGGCGGAUUGUUAAGUCGGGGGUGAAAUCCUGGAGCUCAACUCCAGAACUGCCUUCGAUACUGGCGAUCUCGAGUCCGGGAGAGGUGAGUGGAACUCCGAGUGUAGAGGUGAAAUUCGUAGAUAUUCGGAAGAACACCCGUGGCGAAGGCGGCUCUCUGGGACGGUACUGACGCUGAGACGCGAAAGCGUGGGGAGCGAACAGG